GACGAACGCUGGCGGCGUGCCUAAUACAUGCAAGUAGGACGCAGUUGCGAACGGGUGAGUAACGCGUAGGUAACUACCUGUUAGAGGGGGAUAACUAUUGGAAACGAUAGCUAAUACCGCAUACUAGUAGAUGGACCUGCGUUGUAUUAGCUAGUAGGUAGGGUAAUGGCCUACCUAGGCAACGAUACAUAGCCGACCGGAGAAGGUGGUCGGCCACCAGUGGAAUGAGAGAAGGCCCAGAAUCCGACGGGAGGCAGCAGUAGGGAAUCUUCGGCAAUGGGGGGAACCCUGACCGGGCAACGCGGCGGGAGUGAAGAAGGUUUUCUGAUCGUAAAGCUCUGUUGUUAAGGAAGCGGUACUUAACCAGAAAGGGACGGCUAACUACGUGCCAGCAGCCGCGGUAAUAC
rnacentral:rRNA from 1 species